rnacentral:rRNA from 1 species
CCUACGGGAGGCAGCAGUCGGGAAUAUUGCGCAAUGGAGGAAACUCUGACGCAGUGACGCCGCGUGCAGGAAGAAGGUUUUCGGAUUGUAAACCGCUUUAGACAGGGGAGCAAAAAGACAGUACCUGUACAAUAUGCUCCGGCUAACUACGUACCAGCCGCCGCGGUAAUACGUAGGGAGCACGCGUUAUCCGGCUUUAUUGGGUGUAAAGGGUGAGUUGAAGGGGAAGGAAGUUAGGUGUGAAAUCCCCGGGCUUAACUGAGGAACUGCAAUUAAAACUAGUUCCCUUGAGUACUGGAGAGGAAGGUGGAAUUCCUGGUGUAGCGGUGAAAUGCGUAGAUAUUAGGAAGAACACCAGUGGCGAAGGCGACUUUCUGGACAGUAACUGACGUUGAGGCACGAAAGUGUGGGGAGCAAACAGGAUUAGAUACCCUAGUAGUC